UACGGGAGGCAGCAGUGGGGAAUAUUGCACAAUGGGCGCAAGCCUGAUGCAGCCAUGCCGCGUGUAUGAAGAAGGCCUUCGGGUUGUAAAGUACUUUCAGCGGGGAGGAAGGCGAUGCGGUUAAUAACCGCGUCGAUUGACGUUACCCGCAGAAGAAGCACCGGCUAACUCCGUGCCAGCAGCCGCGGUAAUACGGAGGGUGCAAGCGUUAAUCGGAAUUACUGGGCGUAAAGCGCACGCAGGCGGUCUGUUAAGUCAGAUGUGAAAUCCCCGGGCUUAACCUGGGAACUGCAUUUUGAAACUGGCAGGCUUGAGUCUUGUAGAGGGGGUAGAAUUCCAGGUGUAGCGGUGAAAUGCGUAGAGAUCUGGAGGAAUACCGGUGGCGAAGGCGGCCCCUGGGACAAAGACUGACGCUCAGGUGCGAAAGCGUGGGGAGCAAACAGGGAUUAGAUACC
rnacentral:rRNA from 1 species